AUACAGCCAUGAGGGCGAAUGGUGAGCUUAGCCAUCCUAAUAUAGCUGAUCGUCACUGAGCACCAGGUGCCUUCCAAAGAUCAUCUUAUGUCAUCCUCACCAGAAACUUGCGAGGGCACUUUACUCACCCAGUGCGAGUCCGUAACCAAGGUCCCCCAGCGCUCACACAGCCCGGAGCAGAAGCCGCUGUCCCUGGGGAUGCUACCUCCAAGAGGAUCAUGAUUUUGAGGACACAGUGACCCCACAACACCCCUGGGCAAACAGGCAGGGAGAAGUGAAGCUACUUGCCCAAGAUCACCCAGCUCAAAAGGGCCAGAGGACGGAGAAGCUGAGAGGAAACCCCGGUGAAGAAGAGGCAGUUGUGUGGGAGAAGCCUUUGCCGUCUCUGGAGGGCCUUACAGCCCAAGGGAGGGGCUCUCCGCAGCUCGGAGCCCAGGCCUAGCUGAGGAGGGGGCCAGAAGAUACUCACAAGCACACCCUGUGCCUGCGGCCCGCUGCCUGGUGCAGCCCCUCUGCGUGCAGGUAACACUAGAGAAGGAAAGACCCUGGCCUUACUGACCACCUGUCCCAUCACCUGUGAUCGUGGUAGGAUUGGGUGUGGGUCUCAUACCCCCUAGUGACAGAGGCUUUCUCCAUCCUGUUGUCCAGGUGAGGCUCAGAGCCGUUAGGUCACUGGCCACUUCCCAGGGUCCCUCUGUCCCAGCGCACCGUAGCCAUUCCUCUGAUGCACGCCCGUGCACCUCCACCACAGAAUCCACGUGUCCGCUCUCCCCUGGGCUUCCCCGUGGGCUCUGGGGCGGCUGUGUGCAGGGCUGCCCAGCAGGAGGGCUGGCAUUACCUAAUUGCUGGCCAGCUGCUUUUGUCACCUCAUUUUUCCAAGCUUCCUGGCUCUGAAAGCCGCUGCCUCAGACAGCUGAGUCUCCAGCCUUGUUCUGCUUCGCUCCCCUGAAAGGAAGAGAUCAGAGGCUGUCGCCGUGAUGGAGCAGCCGCCAGGAUCCGAGGCACAAAGCACUAGGGGCAGUGGAUGUCUUUAGCAGGCCACAAAGCCAGGGCCAGUGCCCUACUUACGGCUGUGACUUCCCUUAUUGGGAGCUGCCUUCUGCUGUGAGGCGCCUGGGGUCAGCAUGCUGAGUGUUGGGACUUUAUCCUCCUUGGCCAGCCUCCCCGGGGAGAUGAGCCCUUGUUAGAGCCAGCCCCUGGCAUCCUGAAAGCCGCUCGUACCUCAGCCUGGAAGACAUUUCUGGGUUCAGGGGAGAAGAAAGCAAUCAGAGGGAUGCACACAGCUGCUCUCAGCCUGACGGGCCUCCACACCGGGGAUCAGAGCCAACUCCCAAAGGCAGGACUGGUGCCCGCCUGGCUCAAAAGCAGCAUUCGCCCCUCCCCCUGGACUGAGGCCAGGGCUGCAGCAUCUGCCUCAGAAAGAAAAGUCCUCGGAGAGGCUGAGGACAGGCCAAGGGCAACCUGGCCUCAUCCUGCCCUUGUGAUGGCCUGUAGGUGGGGUGGACAGCAGCCCUGAUGCCCUCCCUGGGCUGUGAGUGUCUCAAGGGCAGGAACUGUGCUCCACCGGACUCAGUACCUUCUGGCACAGGUUAGCAUUUACUGGGCCAGGCACUGUUCUGAGUGCUUUCAGUUAUUAACCCACUAACCCUCACCUCAACCCCAGGAGGUAUUUUUCCCGUUUUUCAGGUGGAGAAACUGACAUACAGAAAGAUUAGUUCAUAAAGCUCGUGAAUGAGGAGGCAGGAUUUGAAUCCAGGCGGUCUGACUCCAGGGCCCAUAUUCUUUACCAUUGUACUACUGUGACUCUCAAUGAAUAAACAAUGGAGAAAUGAAUGAAUAUAGGAAUGAACUGAUGAAUAAAUAAAGCAAUCACUUACUGACUUGUAGAGAGAAUGACGUAAAAGCCCCGUUCAGGAUUACUUCCUCUAUUAACAGUUUCAGGGCCUGUGAAUCUGCCAUUGAAAUGCAUCCCUUUGAGUUUUAGUCUGUGAUUGUCUUUAAAAAAUGCCCCUAAGAAAUUGGGGUAAUGACAAUUAUCGCCAUGCUCUGUGGCCCCUGGAUGUCUAGGUGAGGCCUAAGGCCUGGGGAGAAGUCAACCCCAGGGAUGAGGGGAGAGGAACGAGGAGCUGGGCGUUUCUGUGGAGGAUGCUGCUGUUGCUGUUCUGCUGUGGUGCGGGGCUGGGCCACCGGCUUUCAAGCCUCUGAGCCAGACUGUGCCUCUUACUGGCUCUGUGGCCCUGGGUGAGCCACAUGGCCUCUGGGAGCCCCUGUUUUCUCAUCCAUCAGUGGGGAAUACCAAUAGCUACCUCGCAGUGUGUGAUUAAAUAAACUGCUAUUGGUAAUGGGUCCUGCACAGAGUAGAUGCUCCACGAAUGGGAGCUGUUAUUACCCAAAUUAUAGCCAAAAAGUAUGUCAGGAAGGAUCACCGGCCUGCUUUUCCUCCUACACUGCUUCCCGCUCUGGAGACCCUAUUCCUGGUGUCCCAGGCACUCCCAUCAUGACCCCCAUCUCCCCAGCCCUGCCAGCCUUCUCUCCAGUAUCUAUCUUUCCAGGUUGUCCCCGGCCUCCCUUCUCCCACCUCUGCCCUGGCCGGGGCUCCCACUAUCUGCCAUGUGAACUCUGUCAACUCUGAGACAUCCAGAGAACACACCUCGGAACCAGGUGGAAGCAGGUCCUCCUGUAGCACCCACCUCUCCGUUUCCCAUCCUUGUCUAGUUCCAACUCUGCCAACUUGGACCUCCAGCUGCCUUCACCUCCACCUCUUUUUUCUCACUUGUUUCUCUCUCCCUGUCCCAUGGGUCCCUUUGGCUCGAGUGACUAAUUAAAUUAUGCAGCAGGUGGCAAUGAAGACACCCUCUCCCUUUCAAGUGCUCAUCACAGGGUCAUGCACGACAGCCCCAGGACACAGGAUAGGAAGAGCCCUGGCCCUGGCAGCAGGAGGAUCCUUAUGCAGCCAGUGACCU
ensembl:lncRNA